rnacentral:rRNA from 1 species
UGAACGCUAGCUACAGGCUUAACACAUGCAAGUCGAGGGGCAGCAUGGUCUUAGCUUGCUAAGGCCGAUGGCGACCGGCGCACGGGUGAGUAACACGUAUCCAACCUGCCGUCUACUCUUGGACAGCCUUCUGAAAGGAAGAUUAAUACAAGAUGGCAUCAUGAGUCCGCAUGUUCACAUGAUUAAAGGUAUUCCGGUAGACGAUGGGGAUGCGUUCCAUUAGAUAGUAGGCGGGGUAACGGCCCACCUAGUCUUCGAUGGAUAGGGGUUCUGAGAGGAAGGUCCCCCACAUUGGAACUGAGACACGGUCCAAACUCCUACGGGAGGCAGCAGUGAGGAAUAUUGGUCAAUGGGCGAGAGCUUGAACCAGCCAAGUAGCGUGAAGGAUGACUGCCCUAUGGGUUGUAACCUUCUUUUAUAAAGGAAUAAAGUCGGGUAUGGAUACCCGUUUGCAUGUACUUUAUGAAUAAGGAUCGGCUAACUCCGUGCCAGCAGCCGCGGUAAUACGGAGGAUCCGAGCGUUAUCCGGAUUUAUUGGGUUUAAAGGGAGCGUAGAUGGAUGUUUAAGUCAGUUGUGAAAGUUUGCGGCUCAACCGUAAAAUUGCAGUUGAUACUGGAUAUCUUGAGUGCAGUUGAGGCAGGCGGAAUUCGUGGUGUAGCGGUGAAAUGCUUAGAUAUCACGAAGAACUCCGAUUGCGAAGGCAGCCUGCUAAGCUGCAACUGACAUUGAGGCUCGAAAGUGUGGGUAUCAAACAGGAUUAGAUACCCUGGUAGUCCACACGGUAAACGAUGAAUACUCGCUGUUUGCGAUAUACUGCAAGCGGCCAAGCGAAAGCGUUAAGUAUUCCACCUGGGGAGUACGCCGGCAACGGUGAAACUCAAAGGAAUUGACGGGGGCCCGCACAAGCGGAGGAACAUGUGGUUUAAUUCGAUGAUACGCGAGGAACCUUACCCGGGCUUAAAUUGCAGAUGAAUUACGGUGAAAGCCGUAAGCCGCAAGGCAUCUGUGAAGGUGCUGCAUGGUUGUCGUCAGCUCGUGCCGUGAGGUGUCGGCUUAAGUGCCAUAACGAGCGCAACCCUUGUUGUCAGUUACUAACAGGUUCCGCUGAGGACUCUGACAAGACUGCCAUCGUAAGAUGUGAGGAAGGUGGGGAUGACGUCAAAUCAGCACGGCCCUUACGUCCGGGGCUACACACGUGUUACAAUGGGGGGUACAGAGGGCCGCUACCACGCGAGUGGAUGCCAAUCCCCAAAACCUCUCUCAGUUCGGACUGGAGUCUGCAACCCGACUCCACGAAGCUGGAUUCGCUAGUAAUCGCGCAUCAGCCACGGCGCGGUGAAUACGUUCCCGGGCCUUGUACACACCGCCCGUCAAGCCAUGGGAGCCGGGGGUACGUGAAGUGCGUAACCGCGAGGAGCGCCCUAGGGUAACA